CCUACGGGAGGCAGCAGUGGGGAAUAUUGCACAAUGGGCGCAAGCCUGAUGCAGCCAUGCCGCGUGUGUGAAGAAGGCCUUCGGGUUGUAAAGCACUUUCAGCGGGGAGGAAGGCGUUAAGGUUAAUAACCUUGGCGAUUGACGUUACCCGCAGAAGAAGCACCGGCUAACUCCGUGCCAGCAGCCGCGGUAAUACGGAGGGUGCAAGCGUUAAUCGGAAUUACUGGGCGUAAAGCGCACGCAGGCGGUCUGUCAAGUCGGAUGUGAAAUCCCCGGGCUCAACCUGGGAACUGCAUUCGAAACUGGCAGGCUAGAGUCUUGUAGAGGGGGGUAGAAUUCCAGGUGUAGCGGUGAGAUGCGUAGAGAUCUGGAGGAAUACCGGUGGCGAAGGCGGCCCCCUGGACAAAGACUGACGCUCAGGUGCGAAAGCGUGGGGAGCAAACAGGAUUAGAUACCCGAGUAGUC
rnacentral:rRNA from 1 species